GAUGAACGCUAGCGGGAGGCUUAAUACAUGCAAGUCGAGGGGUAACAUUAGAGCUUGCUCUAGAUGACGACCGGCGCACGGGUGAGUAACGCGUACACGACCUACCUUCAAGAGGAGGAUAGCCCUGGGAAACUGGGAUUAAUACUCCAUAGUAUUGAUUUUGUAAGGAUAUCAAUUAAAGCCUUCGGGUGCUUGGAGAUGGGUGUGCGUUCCAUUAGCUAGUUGGUAAGGUAACGGCUUACCAAGGCUACGAUGGAUAGGGGGCGUGAGAGCGUGAUCCCCCACACGGGUACUGAGACACGGACCCGACUCCUACGGGAGGCAGCAGUAAGGAAUAUUGGACAAUGGGCGCAAGCCUGAUCCAGCCAUCCCGCGUGCAGGAUGACGGCCCUAUGGGUUGUAAACUGCUUUUAUAAAGGAAGAAUAGUCUAGAUUUAUUUGGAUGUGACGGUACUUUAUGAAUAAGCACCGGCUAACUCCGUGCCAGCCGCCGCAGUAACAC
rnacentral:rRNA from 1 species